AUUGAACGCUGGCGGCAGGCUUAACGCAUGCAAGUCGAACGGCAGCACAGUAUGCGCUUGCUCUGCCGGGUGGCGAGUGGUGGAUAGGUGAGGAAUACAUCGGAAUCUACUUUUUCGUGCGGGACAACAUAGGGAAAAUUACGCUAAUACCGCAUACGAUCUAAGGGUGAAAUCAUCGGAUCUCCGGCCCUUGCGCCAGCGAAUGGCCCGAUGUCAGAUUAGCUAGUUGGAGGGGUAAAGGCCCACCAAGGCGACGAUCCGUAGCUGGUCUGAGAGGAUGAUCAGCCACACUGGGACUGAGACACGGCCCAGACUCCUACGGGAGGCAGCAGUGGGGAAUUUUGGACAAUGGGCGCAAGCCUGAUCCAGCCAUGCCGCGUGUGUGAAGAAGGCCUUCGGGUUGUAAAGCCCUUUUGGCGGGAAAGAAAAGCAGUGUGUUAAUACCCCGCUGUGAUGACGGUACCCGAAGAAUAAGCACCGGCUAACUUCGUG
rnacentral:rRNA from 1 species